AGAAAAUUGUCACUGGUGUUGGCCAUGAGUGAGAAUUGAACUGGGUUCGUAGUGCAGCGCGCAAACUGUUACAGUGCCGCUCCCCACACACUCACAUUCACAUACACACACAUGUGCGUGUGCACACCUACAUUCACUCCCAGCACGAGGCUGACUCAUGGCAUCUCGUGGAGGAUCGCUGCACUGAACAAAAUAGUUCCACAGUUCAGUUUGCAAGUGCGAGUUUGCGUUUUAAGUCAAUGGUAACCGAAAAUUUCAUGGAAACAGGUUCGUCGGUCGGGUAUUCCGAAGUCAGGUGUUCAUAAGUUGAUGACUGCCUGUAUCCACUUCUUUUUCAUACUAAUGGUUGUACAGUAUGGAUGCGUACUGGGUUACGGAGCAUCCUCUAUUUAGGGACUGUACCACGUUACGAUCCACCAUCCCACCUCUAAUAGAAGUACCUACUACUACUAGACCAUCUGCUCCCCUCUGCUACGUGCAUCUCACUCCCCGUGUUUGGUUGGAAAGCGAUCUUAAUCUGAUAUUUUAAUGCAGCUUUUGGGUUAAUUCAUAUAUGUGGGUUGUAUGGAUGGUGGUCGUCCAUCCAAGCACUAUGGAAGUUCAGCCAUGCUUUUCUUCCAAGAUCUGAGAUGAUUGGGUGCAUUCUGGUCAUUUGGUCAUAGGUGGUGUAUGGACAUCUGUGUAAAAGAGCUUAAUAGCUCAUUACAUUGCUCAAUUAUAAAUAAAGAUUGCGAUUCUAUGUGUCUGUUGUUGCAUCUGUAUGUUAUACAAUAACCGCACGCAAUCGUUAAAAUGCUUUUCUGUGUUUCUUUGCCGCCGUUUUCCCGUGGCCCACAGCUCAUUGACAGGAAUUGGCAGCUGGAAUCUCUGCAGGCAGAGAUUCAGUGGUACGAACGUGUGGUGGUGGAGCUGCACGCCGAGUUGGCGCCCUACCGCGACAACAGGCAGAGCGCACACUCAGAGCAGCAGCAUCUGCAGAGCGAGGUGGAGCUUCCUACGGUUGAUGAAGAGGACAUCUCUGGCUGCUCACUGGAGCCCAGCGUUCAAGAAGCCUCCUAAGACCUGCCCCCCAAGGCCUCCAACACCCUCUGCGUCUCUCACAUUGACUAACACACGCACAUAUCGACUGACACACACACACACACAUCGACUCACACACACACACACAUGGACUUACACACACAAUUACAUACGGACUUAUACACACAUAUCGACUAAGACACACACACACGUGGACUUACACACACACAUGGACCCAUGCACACACAUCGACUUACACACACACAUCGACUCACACACACUGCCCUACACACACACAUACACAUAUGGACUCAAA